ensembl:lncRNA
AGAAUCAAUCCAAGAAGAAGAUAUAACAAUUGUAAAUGUAUAUGCACCCAACAUAGGAACACCACAAUAUAUAAGACAACUGCUAACAGCCAUAAAUGGAGAAAUUGACAGAAACACAAUAAUACAGGGAAUUUAACACCCCCACUUACAUCAGUGAACAGAUCAUCCAGAUAGAAAAUCCAGAAGGAAACACAGGCCUUAAAUGACACAGUAGACCAGAGAGACCCAACUGAAAUUUAGAGAAUAUUCCAUCCCAAAGCAGCAGAAUAUACAUUCUACUCAAGUGCACAUGGAACAUUCUCCAGGAUAGAACCCACAUUGGCUAUAAAUCAAGCUUUGGUAAAUUCAAAAAAGUUUAAAUUAUUUUAAGCAAUUUCUCUGACCACAAUUCUAUGAGCCUAGAAAUCAACUACAAGAGAAAAACAGCAAAAACAAAAACAAAAAAACACCCCCCCCAAAAAAAAACUCCCAGAAGCUAAACAAUAUGCUGCUAAAUAACCAAUGGAUUAUUGAAGAAUCAAUGAGGAAAUCAAAACAUACUUAGAUACAAAUGACAACAAAGACACGACAAUCCAAAACCUAUGGGACACGGAGUACCCAACGUGACUCAGUGGUUAACGAAUCUGACUAGGAACCAUGAGGUUGUGGGUUUGAUCCCUGGCCUUGCUCAGUGGGUUAAGGAUCCAGCAUUGCUGGGGCUAUGGUGUAGGUCACAGACAUGGCUAGGAUCUAGCGUUGUUGUGGCUGUGGUGUAGGGCAGUGGCUACAGCUCCUAUUAGACCCGCUAGCUUGGGAAACUCCAUAUGCUGCAGGAGCAGCCCUAGAAAAGACAAAAAGACAAAUAGAUAAGACAAAAAACAAACAAACCAACCUAUGGGACACAACAAAAGAAAUUCUAAGAGGGAAGUUUAUAGCCAUAAAAUCAUCUCAGGAAACAAGAAAAAUCUCAAAUAAACAACCUAACCUUACACUUAAAACAACUAGAGAAGGAAAACAGACAAAGCCCAAAAUUAGCAUUAGCAGAAGGAAAGGAAUCAUAAAGAUCAGGGCAGAAAUAAAUGAAACAGAGAUAAAGAAAACAGGAGAAGAUCAAUGAUACCAAAAUUUGGUUCUUUGAAAAGAUUAAGAAAACUGAUAAACCUUUAGCCAGACUCAUCAAGGAAAAAAAGAAAAGGAUUCAAAUCCGUAAAACUAGAAAUGAAAAAGGAGAAGUUACAACUGACACCACAGAAAUAUAAAGAUCCCAAGAGACUACUAUAAGCAACUAUAUGCCAAUGAAAUGGACAACAUAGAAGAAAUGGAAAGAUUCUUACAAAAGUACAAUCUACCAAGAUUGAAUUGGGAAGAAAUUGAAAAUAGGAAUAGACCAAUCAGGAGUCCCCGUCAUGGUGCAAUGGUUAACAAAUUCGACUAGGAACCAAGAGGUUAUAGGUUCAAUCCCUGGCCUUGCUCAGUGAGUUAAGGAUCCGGCAUUGCCAUGAGCUGUGGUGUAGGUUGCAGACUCGGCUCGGAUCCUGCGUUGCUGUGGUUCUGGCGUAGGCCAGUGGCUACAGCUCCGACUGGACCCCUAGCCUGGGAAUCUCCAUAUACCAUGGGUGUGGCCCUAGAAAAGGCAAAAAGAUUAAAAAAAAAAAAAAAAAAAA